rnacentral:rRNA from 1 species
GACGAACGCUGGCGGCGUGCCUAAUACAUGCAAGUAGAACGCUGAAGAGAGGAGCUUGCUCUUCUUGGAUGAGUUGCGAACGGGUGAGUAACGCGUAGGUAACCUGCCUUGUAGCGGGGGAUAACUAUUGGAAACGAUAGCUAAUACCGCAUAACAAUAGGUGACACAUGUCAUUUAUUUGAAAGGGGCAAUUGCUCCACUACAAGAUGGACCUGCGUUGUAUUAGCUAGUAGGUGAGGUAACGGCUCACCUAGGCGACGACACAUAGCCGACCUGAGAGGGUGAUCGGCCACACUGGGACUGAGACACGGCCCAGACUCCUACGGGAGGCAGCAGUAGGGAAUCUUCGGCAAUGGGGGCAACCCUGACCGAGCAACGCCGCGUGAGUGAAGAAGGUUUUCGGAUCGUAAAGCUCUGUUGUAAGUCAAGAACGAGUGUGAGAGUGGAAAGUUCACACUGUGACGGUAGCUUACCAGAAAGGGACGGCUAACUACGUG